rnacentral:lncRNA from 1 species
AAAAAAGUUUACCAUCUUUAAGAAUUAGGGAAAUUAAAAUUGACGUUUUAUCUCACUCUGGUUAGAAUGACAGUCAUCUGAAUACAAAACAUACUGGAGAAAUUGUGGAAGAAAACUGAUACUUUCAACUAUUCGUGGGAUUGUACAUUAGUACACUCACUGUGAUGUCAUUAGGAAAUUCCUCAAAACACUAUGAAUGGAAAACCCUAUGACCCAGCCAUACUGCUCUUUGAUAUUUAUUGUAAAAUAAGUUGUUAGUAUAUUAUAGUGAUGCAUUCAUACCCAGGCUUAUAGCAAUGUGAUUACAAAUAUGCCAGUGGCCUCAAUGUGUACCAGUGGAUAAAUGCACAGUAGAAUCUUAUUCAGUCACAAAGAAGAAUGAAAUUGUCAUUUGCUGGACAGUGUAUGGAAGAUGGAAAUAUAUGUUAAGUUGAAAAAGGUCAAACUCAGAAAGUCAAGGCUCAUGUUUUCUCUCAUGUGGGAGUUGGGAAAGAAAAGAGAUAUGUACUGGCAGAUAUCACAACAAUCACGGGGAGAUUAGUAGAGAAAAAGAAUCAGGCACAGGGAG